CUUCGGUAGCUCAGCUGGCAGAGCGGAGGACUGUGGUAAAUUUCCGUGUAGUUAUCCUUAGAUCGCUGGUUCGAUUCUAGCUCGAAAGAAGAGCUGCUGUUUUGAGGCUCUGGGAGUAUUGUUCUAAGGGUUUUAGCCACAAGUUAAGAGUUGUUUGUCCCACCUCAAUCAAGGAACUGAUGUGCUGUGGUGUUUACUUCUACUGGCUGGACUCCUUACAGCACUGGCGAGCCUAUGGUACGUGGACGGCAUCAGGCACACAAGAGCCAAGUCGCCCUGGCAUCCCAGCACCUGUUAACAGCGCAAAUUUGGAAAGGGGAAGUAGCUGCCCUUGUUGAUGGCGUCACGCACGCGACCCAUUAGCUAUGAGUCCUGAGUGUUCCAGGCACUCCCAAGGAGAUAAAUAUAUACUUUUUUGGAGUGGCUACUCUAAGUCUUGAACAUCAAAAAAUGACUACAGCCAAAAAAGCAAAGCUGAAAACAGCUGAAAUCAUUGCAAGAGGCCUGGAUAGAGUUAUGUGGAGUGAUCAAAUGCAAUGGGAAAACGUUAUAUAUUCUAUGUAGUAAAAGUGUUUCUUGAAGGGAAAUUGAGGAAAUAUCAUUCCCAGUAUCUUAGUUUUUGCAACUAUCUUUCUAAAACAAAUUAUAUGCCAGCUUUCAAAUUUCACAGUGCACAGCAAAACAUGAUUAGCCCCUCAUGGAUGGGGAGUUUAUCCAAAUGGCCAUGUUGUCUGGGAGUAAUUCCCUUUUUCAUGGUUUCCCAAACAAGGAUAAAAUUAUUAAAUGUAUCUCUGAGAUGAAUUUAGCAGAAAUAUCGUUAAAGAUCAAGUCCUGGAUGUAGCAAAUGAUGUUGGUCAGCAGCUCAAAACUGACUUACAAAAGGCAGCCUGUUACUCCAUGUGCUUGGGUGAAUGCACAGAUAUAAAUUAUCAUGCAAGGCUAGCAAUAACUGUGUUAUGCUGUUGGUGACACCAUGAGAGAAGAGCUGGUAAAACUCAUGUCUUUGCUGGAAGAACACAAGAGAUGGAUAUCUACAAUGCUGUGCUAGAGGCUUUUUGUCACAAGACAUACGACCAAAAAAAGUGGUUUCAAUUACUAGCGACGGGGCACCUUGCAUGGUGGGGGCAACAUCUGGUUUCAUAUAGUUCUUUGUUAGAGAAGUAAAAUACCCAGGAUUCACUUUUAUUGUAUUAUACAUUAAGAAGCUCUUUAUGCCAGGGAAAGCAGCAAAAAAAAAAAUUAGAGGAUGUCACAAAAAUAGUGAACUACACCAUGGCUCAUGCUCUUAACUUUUUUCAAGCACUUCUUGAUGAGGAUCAGGCACAGUGUAAUGCUUUACUUAUGUACAAUAAUGUCCAGGAGCUGAGCAGAGAAUAAGUUCUGGAGAGAUUUGUAGCUUGCUUGGAUGAAAUUAGGCUGUUUAUGAAUGAAAAAGGGCAGGAAUAGCCACAACUUAUUGAUACAACCCCAUUUUAAAAAAUAUGUAACAGAUUUUACACUACAAUGUACUGAACAAAAAACUAUAAAGGAUGUUUUGUAAUAUCAAAACAUUUGAGAGAAAAUGCAGGUUUUUGAAAGAAACCUUCAAAGUGGGCAGCUGAAAUAUUUUUCAAAUCUAAAAAUACAGUUAGAAAAUGGCACAAUAUUUGCAGACAAUCCUACAGGUCAUCAGGAAAUCUACAAGGAAUUUUCUAGCAUUGUAGCAGCUGUAAAGGAGAAAUUUAGUAACAGAUUUUUAUAGUUCCAUUAAGAUGGAGACAACGCUGUGUUUUCUCACUUCUCCAAAUAAAGCCAACAUUGAAGAACUUGAUCUUUCCUCCUUACACUGGAUAGAUUUUGGAAAUCUGGAAAUGGAGCUAUUAGAAUUUUAAGAAACUCUAUGACCUGCAUGCAACACUUGAGAAGACAGAGAAUAUAGAGUGAAGGGAUGACAAAGGUCAGCAGAGCUGGUAGCUCUGAAAAUGAAAUCCUGAAAGUGUGGCGUUCUCUGUGAAAUAAUUUUAAGUCAAUGAGCCCUUGGGAUCGCUUUUCUUUGUUUAGAUCAUCUUAUACUUGUGAGCAGCUAUUUUCAGGUUUGAAUUAUAUCAAAUCUGAUACAAGAAACAGAUUAACAGCUGACUGAGUGCUGCAUGUGUUGCCCCCAAACUAACGAGUGUGAGCCAAGGUUUGACAAAUUAUCGGCAUGUAUACAACAGCAAAGAUCACAUUAAUUGGUCAAAAGCACUCCAAAUGCAAACUUUUAGCUUUCAAUAAAAGCCAUUUGUAUCACUGAAA
ensembl:lncRNA